AAAUUGAAGAGUUUGAUCAUGGCUCAGAUUGAACGCUGGCGGCAGGCCUAACACAUGCAAGUCGAGCGGUAGCACAGAGAGCUUGCUCUCGGGUGACGAGCGGCGGACGGGUGAGUAAUGUCUGGGAAACUGCCUGAUGGAGGGGGAUAACUACUGGAAACGGUAGCUAAUACCGCAUAACGUCGCAAGACCAAAGUGGGGGACCUUCGGGCCUCAUGCCAUCAGAUGUGCCCAGAUGGGAUUAGCUAGUAGGUGGGGUAACGGCUCACCUAGGCGACGAUCCCUAGCUGGUCUGAGAGGAUGACCAGCCACACUGGAACUGAGACACGGUCCAGACUCCUACGGGAGGCAGCAGUGGGGAAUAUUGCACAAUGGGCGCAAGCCUGAUGCAGCCAUGCCGCGUGUGUGAAGAAGGCCUUCGGGUUGUAAAGCACUUUCAGCGGGGAGGAAGGCGGUGAGGUUAAUAACCUCAUCGAUUGACGUUACCCGCAGAAGAAGCACCGGCUAACUCCGUGCCAGCAGCCGCGGUAAUACGGAGGGUGCAAGCGUUAAUCGGAAUUACUGGGCGUAAAGCGCACGCAGGCGGUCUGUCAAGUCGGAUGUGAAAUCCCCGGGCUUAACCUGGGAACUGCAUUCGAAACUGGCAGGCUAGAGUCUUGUAGAGGGGGGUAGAAUUCCAGGUGUAGCGGUGAAAUGCGUAGAGAUCUGGAGGAAUACCGGUGGCGAAGGCGGCCCCCUGGACAAAGACUGACGCUCAGGUGCGAAAGCGUGGGGAGCAAACAGGAUUAGAUACCCUGGUAGUCCACGCCGUAAACGAUGUCGAUUUGGAGGUUGUGCCCUUGAGGCGUGGCUUCCGGAGCUAACGCGUUAAAUCGACCGCCUGGGGAGUACGGCCGCAAGGUUAAAACUCAAAUGAAUUGACGGGGGCCCGCACAAGCGGUGGAGCAUGUGGUUUAAUUCGAUGCAACGCGAAGAACCUUACCUGGUCUUGACAUCCACAGAACUUUCCAGAGAUGGAUUGGUGCCUUCGGGAACUGUGAGACAGGUGCUGCAUGGCUGUCGUCAGCUCGUGUUGUGAAAUGUUGGGUUAAGUCCCGCAACGAGCGCAACCCUUAUCCUUUGUUGCCAGCGGUCCGGCCGGGAACUCAAAGGAGACUGCCAGUGAUAAACUGGAGGAAGGUGGGGAUGACGUCAAGUCAUCAUGGCCCCUUACGACCAGGGCUACACACGUGCUACAAUGGCAUAUACAAAGAGAAGCGACCUCGCGAGAGCAAGCGGACCUCAUAAAGUAUGUCGUAGUCCGGAUUGGAGUCUGCAACUCGACUCCAUGAAGUCGGAAUCGCUAGUAAUCGUAGAUCAGAAUGCUACGGUGAAUACGUUCCCGGGCCUUGUACACACCGCCCGUCACACCAUGGGAGUGGGUUGCAAAAGAAGUAGGUAGCUUAACCUUCGGGAGGGCGCUUACCACUUUGUGAUUCAUGACUGGGGUGAAGUCGUAACAAGGUAACCGUAGGGGAACCUGCGGUUGGAUCACCUCCUUACCUUAAAGAA
rnacentral:rRNA from 1 species